AGAAGCCGACAGAGGAUAUGUGUCUGACUGACCACCAGCCCCUGCCUGACUUCUCACGAGUCCCUGGUCUGACAUUGCCCAGUGGAGCCUUCUCAGACUGCUUGACCAUUGUGGAGUUCCUGCAUAGCUUUGGCAAGGUGCUGGGCUUUGAUCCUGCCAAAGAUGUGCCUAGCCUGGGGGUCCUGCAGGAGGGACUCCUGUGUCAAGGUGACAGCUUGGGUGAGGUGCAAGACCUGCUGGUCAGGCUGCUGAAGGCUGCACUCCAUGAUCCUGGCUUGCCCUCCUACUGUCAGGUGAGUGCAAGUCCCUCCCAAAGUAACCAGGACAAGUAAAGGAGAUGUAACUACUUAGUGUUUCUCUUUUCCUUAUAUUUUUCCAUUUCUUUUUCUUCCUGACUCCUCUCCUUAUUUUAUUUUUCUUUAUUUUUUCCUUUUCUUUUGUGGUCUUCUUUCGUAUUCUGUCUUAACCCCCAUAGUUCUCUUCUGAUGUAUUUUCCUCUUGCACAUUCACCCAACUUCGUUGUUCGUCUUUCCCUACUCACCUCCAUUAUGCUAUCCUCCACACAGUCCCUAAAGAUCUUGGGGGAGAAGGUGUCUGAGAUCCCACUGACAAGAGACAAUGUGUCGGAGAUCCUGCGCUGCUUCCUUAUGGCAUAUGGAGUAGAGCCAGCCCUCUGUGACCGCCUGCGCACCCAGCCUUUUCAGGCCCAGCCACCCCAGCAGAAGGCUGCUGUCCUGGCCUUCCUUGUGCAUGAGCUCAAUGGCUCCACCCUCAUCAUCAAUGAGAUUGACAAGACUCUGGAGAGUAUGUCCAGCUACAGGAAAAACAAGUGG
rnacentral:sRNA from 1 species